CGUCUACAACGCGUUGAAACACCGUUUCUUUUACGAUCACCGAAGUUAAGCAACAUCGAGCCUGGUCAAUACCUAAAUGGGUGACCGCUUGGGAAUACCAGGUGUAGUCAG